GAUGAACGCUGGUGGCGUGCCUAAUACAUGCAAGUCGAGCGAACAGACGAGGAGCUUGCUCCUCUGACGUUAGCGGCGGACGGGUGAGUAACACGUGGAUAACCUACCUAUAAGACUGGGAUAACUUCGGGAAACCGGAGCUAAUACCGGAUAAUAUAUUGAACCGCAUGGUUCAAUAGUGAAAGACGGUUUUGCUGUCACUUAUAGAUGGAUCCGCGCCGCAUUAGCUAGUUGGUAAGGUAACGGCUUACCAAGGCGACGAUGCGUAGCCGACCUGAGAGGGUGAUCGGCCACACUGGAACUGAGACACGGUCCAGACUCCUAAGGGAGGCAGCAGUAGGGAAUCUUCCGCAAUGGGCGAAAGCCUGACGGAGCAACGCCGCGUGAGUGAUGAAGGUCUUCGGAUCGUAAAACUCUGUUAUUAGGGAAGAACAAAUGUGUAAGUAACUAUGCACGUCUUGACGGUACCUAAUCAGAAAGCCACGGCUAACUACGUG
rnacentral:rRNA from 1 species